rnacentral:ncRNA from 2 species
CAACUAUAUAGAAUCAACCUUCAUAUAUCCUCGAUAAUAUGGUUCGAAAGUAUCUACCAAAUCACCGGAAAUGAUUUGACUAUGAAGGCAGGUUUCUUUUUG